rnacentral:rRNA from 1 species
UACAGAGGUCUCAAGCGUUUGUUCGGAUUCAUUGGGCGUAAAGGGUGCGUAGGCGGUCGCGGUAAGUCGGGUGUGAAAUUUCGACGGCUUAACUUCGAAACUGCAUUCGAUACUGCCGUGCUAGAGGACUGGAGAGGAGACUGGAAAUUUACGGUGUAGCGGUGAAAUGCGUAGAUAUCGAUGAAGGAGGACCAGUGGGCGAAGGCGGGUCUCUGGACGAGUUCCAUGACGCUGGAGGCAACGAAGGCCAGGGGAACGCAAACGGG